ACGAACGCUGGCGGCGUGCUUAACACAUGCAAGUCGAACGGUGAAGCGCCUUCCUUUCUGGUGGGUGUGGAUGAGUGGCGAACGGGUGAGUAACACGUGAGUAACCUGCCCCCUUCUUCUGGAUAACCGCAUGAAAGUGUGGCUAAUACGGGAUAUUCUGGGUCUGUCGCAUGAUGGGUCUGGGAAAGAUAUUGUUUCGGUGGGGGAUGGGCUCGCGGCCUAUCAGCUUGUUGGUGGGGUGAUGGCCUACCAAGGCGGUGACGGGUAGCCGGCCUGAGAGGGUGGACGGUCACACUGGGACUGAGACACGGCCCAGACUCCUACGGGAGGCAGCAGUGGGGAAUAUUGCACAAUGGGCGCAAGCCUGAUGCAGCGACGCCGCGUGAGGGAUGGAGGCCUUCGGGUUGUGAACCUCUUUCGCCAGUGAAGCAGGCCUGCCUCGUUUGUGGGUGGGUUGACGGUAGCUGGAUAAGAAGCGCCGGCUAACUACGUG
rnacentral:rRNA from 1 species